GAAAUGCGAUACGUAAUGCGAAUUGCAGAUCUCCAGUGAGUCAUCGAAUCUUUGAACGCACAUAGCGCCCGCCAGCACUCUGGCGGGCAUGCCCGUCCGAGCGUCGAUUACACCGCUCGAGCCUCCUUGGCUCGGUGUUGGGGCGCUAGGGGUUUCGGCCCCUAGGCUCCCAAAGGCAUUGCGCGGCCCUAGGAUCAGGACCCGAGCACAGUAAACUCACGUUGAGCUGCUCCCGGGAUACUGCGCCGAGGUGCCAGCCGUAAAACCCCCGACAUAGGCCUGCAUGGGCCGACUGAUGUUGACCUCGGAUCGGGUAGGAAGACCCGCUGAACUUAA
rnacentral:misc_RNA from 1 species